UGGCUCAGUUGGUAGAGCAUGGUGUUUGCAACGCCAGCAUGGUGUGUGCAACACCAGGGUUGUGGGUUGGAUUCCCAC
rnacentral:tRNA from 1 species